CCUACGGGUGGCAGCAGUGAGGAAUAUUGGUCAAUGGCCGUAAGGCUGAACCAGCCAAGUAGCGUGAGGGAAGAAUGCCCUAUGGGUUGUAAACCUCUUUUAUACGGGGAUAAAGUGUGGGACGUGUCCUAUUUUGUAUGUACCUUAUGAAUAAAGAUCGGCUAACUCCGUGCCAUCAGCGUCGGUAAUACGGAGGAUCCGAGCGUUAUCCGGAUUGAUUGGGUUUAAAGGGUGCGUAGGCGGCCUUUUAAGUCAGCGGUGAAAGUCUGUGGCUCAACCAUAGAAUUGCCGUUGAAACUGGGUGGCGUGAGUAUGUUGGAGGCAGGCGGAAUGCGGGGUGUAGCGGUGAAAUGCUUAGAGAUCACGCAGAACCCCGAUGGCGAAGGCAGCCUGCCAAGCCAUGACUGACGCUGAUGUACGAAAGCGUGGGGAUCAAACAGGAUUAGAUACCCGGGUAGUC
rnacentral:rRNA from 1 species